GGGCAUCAUGAUCUAGCAAUAGAUUGAUGGCGACCGGCGCACGGGUGAGUAACACGUAUCCAACCUUCCAUUAACUCGGGGAUAGCCUUUCGAAAGAAAGAUUAAUACCCGAUAGUAUAGCAUUUCCGCAUGGUUUUGCUAUUAAAGAAUUUCGGUUAUUGAUGGGGAUGCGUUCCAUUAGUUUGUUGGCGGGGUAACGGCCCACCAAGACUUCGAUGGAUAGGGGUUCUGAGAGGAAGGUCCCCCACAUUGGAACUGAGACACGGUCCAAACUCCUACGGGAGGCAGCAGUGAGGAAUAUUGGUCAAUGGACGAGAGUCUGAACCAGCCAAGUAGCGUGAAGGAUGAAGGCUCUAUGGGUCGUAAACUUCUUUUAUACGGGAAUAAAGUGAUCCACGUGUGGUUUUUUGUAUGUACCGUAUGAAUAAGGAUCGGCUAACUCCGUGCCAGCAGCCGCGGUAAUACGGAGGAUCCGAGCGUUAUCCGGAUUUAUUGGGUUUAAAGGGAGCGUAGGCGGGUUGUUAAGUCAGUUGUGAAAGUUUACGGCUCAACCGUAAAAUUGCAGUUGAUACUGGCUAGUCUUGAGUGCAGUAGAGGUGGGCGGAAUUCGUGGGUAGC
rnacentral:rRNA from 1 species